UACGGGGGGGGGCAAGCGUUGUUCGGAAUUACUGGGCGUAAAGGGCUCGUAGGCGGCCAACUAAGUCAGACGUGAAAUCCCUCGGCUUAACCGGGGAACUGCGUCUGAUACUGGAUGCUUGAGUUUGGGAGAGGGAUGCGGAAUUCCAGGUGUAGCGGUGAAAUGCGUAGAUAUCUGGAGGAACACCGGUGGCGAAGGCGGCAUCCUGGACCAACACUGACGCCGAGGAGCGAAAGCCAGGGGAGCAAACGGG
rnacentral:rRNA from 1 species